rnacentral:rRNA from 1 species
UACAGAGGUCCCAAGCGUUGUUCGGAUUCACUGGGCUUAAAGGGCGCGUAGGCGGUUUGCCAAGUCUGUGGUGAAAUCCUCCGGCUCAACCGGAGAACGGCCGUGGAUACUGGCGACCUCGAGGGGGGUAGGGGCUUGCGGAACUGUGCGUGGAGCGGUGAAAUGCGUUGAUAUGCACAGGAACUCCGGUGGCGAAGGCGGCGAGCUGGACCCUUUCUGACGCUGAGGCGCGAAAGCCAGGGGAGCGAACGGG